GACGAACGCUGGCGGCGUGCCUAAUACAUGCAAGUAGAACGCUGAAGGAGGAGCUUGCUCUUCUGGAUGAGUUGCGAACGGGUGAGUAACGCGUAGGUAACCUGCCUGGUAGCGGGGGAUAACUAUUGGAAACGAUAGCUAAUACCGCAUAAGAGUAGAUGUUGCAUGACAUUUACUUAAAAGGUGCAAUUGCAUCAUUACCAGAUGGACCUGCGUUGUAUUAGCUAGUUGGUGGGGUAACGGCUUACCAAGGCGACGAUACAUAGCCGACCUGAGAGGGUGAUCGGCCACACUGGGACUGAGACACGGCCCAGACUCCUACGGGAGGCAGCAGUAGGGAAUCUUCGGCAAUGGACGGAAGUCUGACCGAGCAACGCCGCGUGAGUGAAGAAGGUUUUCGGAUCGUAAAGCUCUGUUGUAAGAGAAGAACGAGUGUGAGAGUGGAAAGUUCACACUGUGACGGUAUCUUACCAGAAAGGGACGGCUAACUACGUG
rnacentral:rRNA from 1 species